GACGAACGCUGGCGGCAGGCUUAACACAUGCAAGUCGAACGAAUGGAGGACGGGUGAAUAAUGCUUGGGAAUCUGGCUAAUUUAGGGGGAUAACUGCGGGAACAUGUAGCUACUACCGCUUACCAUAGGAUGAUCCCAAGUGGUAUUAGGUAGUUGGUGGGGUAAAGGCUGCCUAAGCCGACGAUCGCUAGCUGGUCUGAGAGGAUGACCAGCCAAACUGGGACUGGGACAGGGCCCAGACUCCUCCGGGAGGCAUCAGGGGGGAAUAUUGCGCAAUGGGGGCAACCUGCCGAGGCCAUGCCGCGUGAAUGAGGAAGGCCUUCGGGUUGUAAAGUUCUUUAGGUAGGGAGGCGUUACCUGCAGAAGAAGCAACGGCUAACUCCGUGCCAGCAGCCGCGGUAAUUC
rnacentral:rRNA from 1 species